GAUGAACGCUGGCGGCGUGCCUAAUACCUGCAAGUCGAGCGAACAGACGAGGAGCUUGCUCCUCUGACGUUAGCGGCGGACGGGUGAGUAACACGUGGAUAACCUACCUAUAAGACUGGGAUAACUUCGGGAAACCGGAGCUAAUACCGGAUAACAUGUUGAACCGCAUGGUUCAACAGUGAAAGACGGUCUUGCUGUCACUUAUAGAUGGAUCCGCGCCGCAUUAGCUAGUUGGUAAGGUAACGGCUUACCAAGGCAACGAUGCGUAGCCGACCUGAGAGGGCGAUCGGCCACACAGGAACUGAGACACGGUCCAGACUCCUACGGGAGGCAGCAGUAGGGAACCAUCCGAAAUGGGCGAAAGCCUGACGGACCAACGCCGCGUGAGUGAUGAAGGUCUUCGGAUCGUAAAACUCUGUUAUUAGGGAAGAACAAAUGUGUAAGUAACUAUGCACGUCUUGACGGUACCUAAACAGAAAGCCACGGCUAACUACGUG
rnacentral:rRNA from 1 species